UUCCGCCGGAAGCCCUUCCAGGAGGGAGCGAGAGCCGAGCAACCAACGUCAUGUCUUGAUUUACUACCUUAUAUCAAUACCACACUGCCGCCAUUACCAGUACCUGAUAGGACCCCUAUACCUCUAAGGGCUUCAACUGUGUUGUUCUUCAGUAUUGCCGAACGGAGUGCUGUACUAAGCACAGCUCAGGGACAGGGAUGGAUGAGGCACCAGCUCUGCCUAGUGUCUACUUGGGAAUGGAAACGCCUCCUUCGUGAGCAUGGAGAACUCGUGGAAGCCACACCCCACUGCAGAGAUUCUUCCCCCUUCAGAAUUCAGGUUCUGGGUCUGGGCGCACGCUACUCUGCAGAGACACGUGCUGCCACGUCCUGUCUCAUGAUGGAAGUGG
rnacentral:lncRNA from 1 species